rnacentral:rRNA from 1 species
GAGGAAUAUUGGUCAAUGGACGAGAGUCUGAACCAGCCAAGUAGCGUGAAGGAUGACUGCCCUAUGGGUUGUAAACUUCUUUUAUACGGGAAUAAAGUUAGCCACGUGUGGCUUUUUGUAUGUACCGUAUGAAUAAGGAUCGGCUAACUCCGUGCCAGCAGCCGCGGUAAUACGGAGGAUCCGAGCGUUAUCCGGAUUUAUUGGGUUUAAAGGGAACGUAGGCGGGUUGUUAAGUCAGUUGUGAAAGUUUGCGGCUCAACCGUAAAAUUGCAGUUGAUACUGGCGACCUUGAGUGCAACAGAGGUAGGCGGAAUUCGUGGUGUAGCGGUGAAAUGCUUAGAUAUCACGAAGAACUCCGAUUGCGAAGGCAGCUUACUGGAUUGUAACUGACGCUGAUGCUCGAAAGUGUGGGUAUCAAACAGGAUUAGAUACCCUGGUAGUCCACACAGUAAACGAUGAAUACUCGCUGUUGGCGAUAUACGGUCAGCGGCCAAGCGAAAGCAUUAAGUAUUCCACCUGGGGAGUACGCCGGCAACGGUGAAACUCAAAGGAAUUGACGGGGGCCCGCACAAGCGGAGGAACAUGUGGUUUAAUUCGAUGAUACGCGAGGAACCUUACCCGGGCUUAAAUUGCAACUGACUGAACCGGAAACGGUUCUUUCUUCGGACAGUUGUGAAGGUGCUGCAUGGUUGUCGUCAGCUCGUGCCGUGAGGUGUCGGCUUAAGUGCCAUAACGAGCGCAACCCUUAUCGAUAGUUACUAGCAGGUCAUGCUGAGGACUCUAUUGAGACUGCCGUCGUAAGAUGUGAGGAAGGUGGGGAUGACGUCAAAUCAGCACGGCCCUUACGUCCGGGGCUACACACGUGUUACAAUGGGGGGUACAGAAGGCAGCUACACGGCGACGUGGUGCUAAUCCCGAAAGCCUCUCUCAGUUCGGAUUGGAGUCUGCAACCCGACUCCAUGAAGCUGGAUUCGCUAGUAAUCGCGCAUCAGCCACGGCGCGGUGAAUACGUUCCCG